rnacentral:rRNA from 1 species
GCCCCUGAGAGGGAAUCUGAGACACUAUUCGCAGCCCCACGGGCUCCAGCACUUAGGCAUAAUUUACAAUGCGCGCAAGCGUGACAAUUUGAGCCAGAGUGCGGAUCAGGGUGAAAAGCUUUUGCCAAAUGUCCAAAGUCAGACGAAUAAGGACAGGGUAAGACUAGUGCCAGCCGCCGCGGUAAUACUAGCGGUCCAAGUCGCAGCCAUUUUUAUUGGGUCUAAAACAUCCGUAGCUUGCUUAGUAAGUUUCUUGUGAAAUCUCAUAUCUCAAAUAUGGGGCGAGCAAGAAGUACUGCUAAGCUAGAGACUGGUAGACGUAAGAAGUACGUUCGGAGUAGCGGUAAAAUGUGUUAAUCCCGGACGGACUAACAAUAGCGAAGGCAUCUUACGAGCACAGUUCUGACAGUAAGGGAUGAAGGCUAGGGGCGCAAAACGGAUUAGAUACCCGUGUAGUCCUAGCAGUAAACACUGCACACUAAACAUUAGUACCUCCUCGAGAGGUAUUAGUGCUGAAGGGAAGCCGAAGAGUGUGCUACCUGGGAAGUAUAGUCGCAAGGCCGAAACUUAAAGGAAUUGGCGGGGGAGCACAAUCG